AGAGUUUGAUCCUGGCUCAGAACGAACGCUGGCGGCAGGCUUAACACAUGCAAGUCGAGCGCCCCUCCUUCAAGCGAGCUUGAAGGGUUAUUUCCUUGAAAAGAAAGAUCAGCAGAGCUUUUAAGAAGCUCUCUUGAUGGAGGGGAGCGGCAGACGGGUGAGUAACGCGUGGGAAUCUACCCAUCCCUACGGAACAACUCCGGGAAACUGGAGCUAAUACCGUAUACGCCCUUCGGGGGAAAGAUUUAUCGGGGAUGGAUGAGCCCGCGUUGGAUUAGCUAGUUGGUGGGGUAAAGGCCUACCAAGGCGACGAUCCAUAGCUGGUCUGAGAGGAUGAUCAGCCACAUUGGGACUGAGACACGGCCCAAACUCCUACGGGAGGCAGCAGUGGGGAAUAUUGGACAAUGGGCGCAAGCCUGAUCCAGCCAUGCCGCGUGAGUGAUGAAGGUCUUAGGAUUGUAAAGCUCUUUCACCGGAGAAGAUAAUGACGGUAUCCGGAGAAGAAGCCCCGGCUAACUUCGUGCCAGCAGCCGCGGUAAUACGAAGGGGGCUAGCGUUGUUCGGAAUUACUGGGCGUAAAGCGCACGUAGGCGGAUAUUUAAGUCA
rnacentral:rRNA from 2 species